UUGAUAUCCCGGUUUAGUUGGAAGUAGGCGAUGGGUAGGCAAAUCCGCCCGUCAUAUACCGAGGCCAACGAUCGAGCCAGCUUGCUGGUGAAGUGACUGAACGAGGUUCCAGGAAAAGCCACUAAGCUUCAGCUAUACACGACCGUACCGCAAACCGACACUGGUGCGCGAGAUGAGUAUUCUAAGGCGCUUGAGAGAACUCAGGAGAAGGAACUCGGCAAAUUGACACCGUAACUUCGGAAGAAGGUGUGCCCUAUUAGUGUGAAGUGAACAACGGAGCAUGAAUGGGUUGCAAAAAAUCGGUGGCUGCGACUGUUUAUUAAAAACACAGCACUCUGCAAACACGAAAGUGGACGUAUAGGGUGUGACGCCUGCCCGGUGCUGGAAGAUUAAAUGAUGGGGUGCAAGCUCUUGAUUGAAGUCCCAGUAAACGGCGGCCGUAACGAUAACGGUCCUAAGGUAGCGAAAUUCCUUGUCGGGUAAGUUCCGACCUGCACGAAUGGCGUAACGAUGGCCACACUGUCUCCUCCUGAGACUCAGCGAAGUUGAAAUGUUUGUGAUGAUGCAAUCUCCCCGCGGAAAGACGGAAAGACCCCAUGAACCUUUACUGUAGCUUUGUAUUGGACUUUGAACAGAUCUGUGUAGGAUAGGUGGGAGGCUUUGAAGCAGGGUCGCUAGAUCUUGUGGAGCCAACGUUGAAAUACCACCCUGGUGUGUUUGAGGUUCUAACCUAGGUCCAUUAUCUGGAUCGGGGACAGUGCAUGGUAGGCAGUUUGACUGGGGCGGUCUCCUCCCAAAGCGUAACGGAGGAGUUCGAAGGUACGCUAGUUACGGUCGGACAUCGUGACGAUAGUGCAAUGGCAUAAGCGUGCUUAACUGCGAGACUGACAAGUCGAGCAGAUGCGAAAGCAGGACAUAGUGAUCCGGUGGUUCUGUAUGGAAGGGCCAUCGCUCAACGGAUAAAAGGUACUCUGGGGAUAACAGGCUGAUACCGCCCAAGAGUUCAUAUCGACGGCGGUGUUUGGCACCUCGAUGUCGGCUCAUCUCAUCCUGGGGCUGUAGCCGGUCCCAAGGGUAUGGCUGUUCGCCAUUUAAAGAGGUACGUGAGCUGGGUUUAAAACGUCGUGAGACAGUUUGGUCCCUAUCUUCCGUGGGCGCUGCAGAUUUGAGGAAGCCUGCUCCUAGUACGAGAGGACCGGAGUGGACACACCUCUGGUGUAUCGGUUGUCACGCCAGUGGCAUUGCCGAGUAGCUAAGUGUGGAAGAGAUAACCGCUGAAAGCAUCUAAGCGGGAAACUCGUUUCAAGAUGAGAUCUGCCGGGGCCUUGAGCCCCCUGAAGAGUCGUUCAAGACCAGGACGUUGAUAGGUCAGGUGUGGAAGCGCAGUAAUGCGUUAAGCUAACUGAUACUAAUUGCUCGUGCGGCUUGACCA
rnacentral:rRNA from 1 species